rnacentral:rRNA from 1 species
CAUGCCGCGUGUGUGAAGAAGGCCUUCGGGUUGUAAAGCACUUUCAGCAAGGAGGAAGGCCAUGCGGUUAAUACCCGUAUGGAUUGACGUUACUUGCAGAAGAAGCACCGGCUAACUCCGUGCCAGCACCCUCGGUGACUGAGCGGGCUGGCAAGGCGCAUA